CCCUAAUUGGCUCAGUUGGUAGAGCGCUCCACUGGAAAUGGAGGGGUCCCGGGUUCGAUAUUCGGGUAAGGCG
rnacentral:tRNA from 1 species